GUACUCUCGUUUCUCUUCAUCUCGUACAAAUCUUUCACCUUUAACUAAAGCUUUCCGUGCAGAGGAACAUGAAUGAGUUUCAUGCAAUUUUUGUGCCUCCCUGCCUUCGGGUUU
ensembl:snRNA U5 U5 spliceosomal RNA